rnacentral:pre_miRNA from 1 species
UGGGGGAGGCGGUAUCCUGGGCUGUGUCCCGGCGCCCUGUGCUCCGGAGCCUGCGCUGGUGGAUUCGCGCUCCCGCCCCGCAGCCCCCU